UGUAUUAUUAUUUAAGAGCGGCAAAGUCAACCUCUACACGGCCUUUAUCGAUCUUAAAGGGGCCUUUGACUCAGUUUCAAGAGAGCUCCUUUGGCAGAAACUUGAGACCCUGGAAAUUGAUCCCAGACUCUUUGUGCUUAUAAAAGCUUUGC